CUUAACAUCACCAAGAUGUAUUGCUGGAUUACUGUUGCUCUGCUUCUUAUAACCUACAGGCAAUGUUCCCAGGCUCAGAGUUUGAAUCAGCCUUCAUCACUGACAGUGUCUCUGGGACAGAAGGCUGAAAUCACAUGUACAGGCAGUAUCAGUAGUGAAGACCUAGCUUGGUACCAGCAGAAGCCUGGGAAAUCCCCACAGUACCUCGGGUUCGACAACAGCAGAGCCUCAGGAAUCCCAGAUCGUUUCUCUCUGACCAAAGAUACCUCUGCUAAAAUUGCUAAAUUAACCAUCUCUGGUGUUCAGGCAGAGGAUGAUGCUAAUUAUUACUGUAGCACAUGGGUCAGUGGCUCUAACGUACACAGUGAUACAAUAAUACAAACAGCUAAAACAAAAACCUUCUGCAUGACUGGUUCUGCUCCUGCAGCUGUAGCUGCCUGCUCACUGAAGGGCAGUGACAGUUAA